rnacentral:lncRNA from 1 species
CUUUCAUUUACUUUACUUAUUUAGUUCCUAUCUAUUGUGGAAUGCCUUGACAGAAGCAUCCUUUUUUAAAUACCAAAAGAAAACAAUGAUGAAGAAGGAUAUAUGCCUAUGCCCGCUGAAAGACACUCGGAUUCUGUGGCAAAGUGGAUUCCAGACACCAAAGUCCUGUACUGGCAGUUGGAAUUGGAGCCGAUGUGUACUGAAGAGGAAAAGGAAAAAGAGAUGUCUGGAGCAAGAACAGCAUCUGCCAAAGGAUGGAUUGAAGAAGAAAAAAAUUGUAAGCUGAAAUUCAGGGGAUGAAUUUUUCCAGAAACAAACACGAGAAAAUCUCAACAAAGGUGAAACUAUGGCAUUGAAUCCUUAGGAUUCAGAAGGGUUGGGAGGGAGGGAUAUGGACUAAAAGUAAUCCAGUAGUUUACACCUAAGUUUGUUAUUUACAACUUUGCAUGAAGACUUUCAAAUUAAUAGUGCAGAUGAAGUUCAUAUAUUAUAUAGUUUUAAAAAUUCUGUUUUGUCAAUUAUGGUUGGUUUAUUUAUUAUCAGUUGGUGUCCUCAUCAUUACUAUAGGUCAUCAAAUUUCAGUUCGCUUCUACUUUUAGGCACAUAGCUGCUCUUACAGUGCAUACCUGUGUCUGAGUACUGUUUUCAUCCACCUGUCAGCCAGGGUCUGCAGGACAGACCUGGCACUACUGUUUAUUACUUUUGUUUCACUAAGACAAACUUCAAAAAAUAGCUAAUAACCUCAUUAUGUCCAAAUUUAUUGGUCUUUAUAAAAAUACUUAAAAAAAAAAAGAUUUUAUUGGCCUGGCAUGGUGGCCCAUGCCUGUAAUCCCAGCACUUUGGGAGGCCGAGGCAGGCAGAUCACAAGGUCAAGAAUCGAGACCAUCCUGGCCAACAUGGUGAAACCCCUUCUGUACCAAAAAUCAGCUGGUCAUAGUGGCACUUGCCUAUAGUCCCAGCUACUCGGGAGGCUGAGGCAGGAGAAUCGAUUGAACCUGGGAGGAGGAGGCUGCAGUGAGCCAAGAUUGCACCACUUCACUCCAGCCUGGGUGAGAGAGCAAGACUCCAUCUCCAAAUAAUAAUAAUAAUAAUAAUAAUAUAUAUAUAUAUAUAUCCUAUUUGACAUUAAAAAAAUUUUAUCUAUGAUUCCUUCUAGUUUUUUUCUCUAUUUGUUUAUGUAAUGAUAUAGCCUCUCUUUUCUUGAACAUUCUCUGUAUUUCAAUUUCUUCCUUGUUUGUACUAAUUUACCUCUUGUACAUUAAAAACCAUUACAUUUAUUUUUUUCUCAAAUUUACUAUUGUGUUUUUCAAUUUCCAGCCUCUGAGAGAUCCAAUCAAUACUCAUAUACUAUACUCUAAAUUCUAAAUUUUCUUUCUUGUAACUUUGUCAUUGACCUGUCUUUAGUGCCAUAUUUUUAUUUUACUGGUUUACAAAUGGAUUAUUUCUAGUUUACUUUGCAAAAUGACCCAAAUUCAGCAGGUGUAAAACAUAUAUUUUUUACAGACUUUUUCUUAUCUCCUCGUGAUUGUGAAUGUCA